GACGAACGCUGGCGGCGUGCUUAACACAUGCAAGUCGAACGGGUCUGCCCUGUUUUUUGCGGGGUGGGUCAGUGGCGAACGGGUGAGUAACACGUGAGUAACCUGCCCCUCACUUCUGGAUAACCGCUUGAAAGGGUGGCUAAUACGGGGUGUUCUGGCUGUGCCGCAUGGUGUGGCUGGGAAAGAUUCACUUUUGUGGUGUUUUGGUGGGGGAUGGGCUCGCGGCCUAUCAGCUUGUUGGUGGGGUGAUGGCCUGCCAAGGCUUUGACGGGUAGCCGGCCUGAGAGGGUGGGCGGUCACACUGGGACUGAGAUACGGCCCAGACUCCUGCGGGAGGCAGAAGUGGGGGGUAUUGCACAAUGGGCGGAAGCCUGAUGCAGCGACGUCGCGGGAGGGAUGGAGGCCUUCGGGUUGUGAACCUCUUUCGCCGGUGAAGAAGGUCCUGCUCUUUGUGGUGGGGUUGACGGUAGCCGGGUUAUGAAGCGCCGGCUAACUACGUG
rnacentral:rRNA from 1 species